AUUAACAAAACCAAAAUAUAGAGGUAGAUCUUUGUUAAAGAUCUCAAUGGACCCCCUGUUAAUA
rnacentral:tRNA from 1 species